rnacentral:rRNA from 1 species
AAUAGAUACCCUGGUAGUCCAUGCCGUAAACGUUGGGAACUAGAUGUAGGGCCUGUUCCACGGGUUCUGUGUCGUAGCUAACGCAUUAAGUUCCCCGCCUGGGGAGUACGGCCGCAAGGCUAAAACUCAAAGGAAUUGACGGGGGGCCCGCACAAGCGGCGGAGCAUGCGGAUUAAUUCGAUGCAACGCGAAGAACCUUACCAAGGCUUGACAUAUAGAAGAACACUGCAGAGAUGCAGGACUCUUUGGACACUUCUAUACAGGUGGUGCAUGGUUGUCGUCAGCUCGUGUCGUGAGAUGUUCGGUUAAGUCCGGCAACGAGCGCAACCCUGUCCUAUGUUGCCAGCACGUAAUGGUGGGAACUCAUGGGAUACUGCCGUGGUCAACACGGAGGAAGGUGGGGAUGACGUCAAAUCAUCAUGCCCCUUAUGUCUUGGGCUUCACGCAUGCUACAAUGGCCGGUACAAAGGGCUGCGAUACCGCAAGGUGAGCGAAUCCCGAAAAGCCGGUCUCAGUUCGGAUUGG